rnacentral:lncRNA from 1 species
GGCCUUGGUUGAAAAGGGCAGCCGUCACUCAUUGGGAGGCUCUCUCUCUCGCCUGGAACAUUCCCAUUUUUCUUUGAAAACCAUGUUCUUGUUUUUUUGACUUUGGAUGAAUGGAAUGAAGAAGCACACUCUUUCUUUAAUUUUGGAUUCUUGAGCACUUUUUUUGAAUCAUUCUCUUGCUUCUAAGCUUGUACGUUCACGCUGCUGGAGGGAUUUAAUUCGGUUUUUAGAGAAAGGGAGCUGCUCACACGGACAUGGAUUUCGGCUAGGAAUUAAUUGCAAUUGAUUUAUUUUGCUGCACGGGUUUUAUUAAUUGAAGAAGUGGUGUGUACGGUGACUUUGAUCUAAUGAAGCUAAGGCGGUGAAUAUUUUUUUUCUUUUUUUUUUCAUUAUCUUUGCUUUGUUUUAGAAAAGUGUUGUGCUGAUUUCAAUUGGAAACAUAUGUAACGGUGAUGUCCAUUAGGAUGAGUGCUCACGUCUACCUUUUAUUUUGAUUUUCAAUAUGGAAAACAAAGAAAUGGUACAGCAACAUGUUUCGGUUUGUGAUGAAUUUGAUUUUAGAAAACACAUUUUCUUUUAGUCAACGUCACGGUCUGGGAAUUAAUUUAGAAGUUCAUUUCUUGUUUUUGUUGGAGCACACGGUUUUAGUUUUAUUAGAUUCAUGCUUUGACCGAGAAGGAUUUAUAUACUUUACAUGUUAGCUAACUCAAUUUUUUUAUUUCUCUCUUAACGCUUUUUUUUUUCUUUUAUGUGUUGUUGCCGUGAUGGAUAGGAUUGCUAACUGCAUUUUACCUUUAGCUAAUUGUUCUAAUUUAAGUGUAUUGAAUGCAUUUUCUUAUUUAUUUAUCACAUUGCAAUUAGAUCACGCGCCUUAGCAUUGAAUGUUUUAUUCCCGUGUUUUUUAUUCACUUUUAUGUUUUCAAUUCUAUUUAGUUAUGUUUAAUUUUCAUGCUUUAAUUUACUUUAAUUAUCAUCUCAAAUACCUUCAUCAAAACCCCCUGAUGAGUGGUUAUUUCUUGACCUAUAUUUAGUUUAUUGCACUUAAAUAAACCAGGGAAUUGUGUUUAAUUGUCUGUUAUUUCCCUGUUUUCCGAAUUCUGCUUAAUUUGGUCGGAAAUUCGUAAUUGUGUUAAUAUGGGUUUUCUGAGCUGAUUAAGUGUAUUUUGGUUGCAGGGAAAUUUUGGGAAACAUCAUUUGGAGCAUUAGGGAUGGU